ensembl:lncRNA
UCAGGCUCGCAUGCCUCCAGAGCAGGGAAAACUCAUAGACGAAAGAUGACAUUUCAGGAAAAAAAGCUGACAUUGAGUCCGUCACUGUCAUCGCUUCUGCCAUAAAGCAGCUUCAAAUAUUAAAACAUUUUUCAUCUGUGCUGCAUUAUUGGCACCAGAAAUUGUUUUCUCUCUGUCUGGUGCGCACUUGAACUGCAGCAGCGCUCCCCGGAGACUCAGGAUUGUUACCAAGGCCUCAUAACAUAUUGGCAGUUGACGUGGUGGUGUUCGUGUACACUUGCCACUCACGCGGAGCCUCCCCUCCCCCAGCUCGCAGGCGCAAACCACAGGCUGCCCUGCGACGCUGGGCCCAUGACCUGCCCACCAGGACCUGAGAGCCUGGGGACAGCUGCUGGGCUGGAGGCUGGAUGCACGCGCCCCCCUCCCCACCUCCCGCUCCGCCCCGCCCCGGGGCUCCCAAGGUUGCAACUGGCCUUCCUCUGGCCACGCCCCGCCCUUACCCCUGUCUGGCCCCCAGGCUGCUCCUGCUCAGAUCUGGCCUUUCUCAAGCAGCCCUAAUCCCAGGAGGAUGUCACAGUCCUUCGGAGUCACAGGCUUUGGCGGCAGAGGAAGUCUUUAACACCAGUCAGGCCCUCCAGCCCUGGUGGAGGAGGUCCACAGCUCCUGCCUUGCAAAAGGAGCAUCCAGAGGCUGCUUCCUGGUGCUGGGUCUGCAGAUGAACCCGUGUGUUGGGAGCCGGUCAGGGCAGCUUGCUUCUGCGAACGUCCAGUGGGCAAGGUGAUACUGCAGGCUUCCAGCAUGCCCCUUCCCCAUCUGCUGGCGAUGCCUGGCUAAGUCCUCACAAGGUACACAGCCAAGCGGCCACUGGUUCAGAGACGAUGACCAUGCUGAAGCCACUAUGUGGUGCCGUGUGCCUAUCAUCUGACACCUUGUGGUGUGUGUCUGCCUUUCCCACCGACGCUGCCUGUUGGAGGAGAGCCUGCUGUAGAGAGGCACUGAAGUGGCAUCUCCUUGCAGUGCAGAAGACCAUCCCUUGAUGGGCAGAGCGGCCCAGAGCCACAAGGCAGACACAACCAGAUGUCUUCCAGCACACAUCCCAAGACAUCUUGUUUGAUCCUCUCUCCCAGGUCCUUGCGGUUCUGGUAAGCCUCUGGGAGCAGGGCUAUUUUAGUCAACUGGUUUCCAGGCUCCUGACCAUGAGGUUAAAGUAAGGAAGUGGGCUGAGGGCAAGACUGAACCACCUAAGACCUCUUGGACUACUGUGGUACGGGCUGUCCCCCUUUGUCUGCUCCAGGCUGGAAUCUGGUAGGACUGCCUAUCUCACAUCCACUUCAAGGACACGGAGGCCACCAGGGAGCAAAGCCUCCACUGCUCUGCAGCUCCCCACUCACCAUUCUGCUCUGGUUCUGAAGUCCCUCUGAGACUUGAGGGGUAGUUGAGUCAUCAAGAGAAGAAAAUAAGAGUUAAUAAUUAUUUCCCCCAAAAAAGGAGGUGCCAGUACCUGUAAGUGUCCUGGGUCCCUGAGAAUUUGGAUAUGACUAAUAACCACAAGGGAGGUUUGACAAAGGGAAGGAAGGAGGGGAGGCAGGCAAGCAGGGCUUGCUGGGAGUGCAUGGCGGCGUAAGUGACGGGAAAGGUUGGCUGAUUUGAUGAAAACCCCAUCAGCCUCUCUGGGGAGAUAUUACUUUCCUCAUUAUUCCACUGAUUGGCCUUAUUUCAUCUGAAGAAUGCCACACAUUCCUUAAGGCCUGGCAAGCCUCUUUAACAAUAUCCAGGAAAAAAAAAAAAAAAUCUAUCACCUCCUUAAUCGAAACAACAAGGAAAUUAACAUGAGUCAUCUUCUUCCACAGGGAUCAGUUGAAAGAUCCACCCAAGUUCCUUUCUUCUAACCCAGGUACCGGCUCCUCAACCCCCAAAAUUAUCCAACAAAUCUCUUAAAUGUUAUAUACAUAGGAUGGUCAUGGGAGGAGUUUGUUCUCCGAUAUGGCAGUGGCUGAGAGUGUUUUGUAAAUCCCAUAAGAAGAACAAAGGCUCAGCUGGGCCACCAGUACCUCUCUUUGCACAGAGGUAAAAUCCUUGUGUGACUGGACGAUUCAGGGAGAAUGCAGUAUUCCAGGACAGCUGGUCCUGAUAUAGGAGAAUCAGCGUCACUCCUCACACUACAAGGCUUUGCUUACCAGCCCAACAACAGGGAGGGAAGUACAAAACACACUUGUGAAUUUCAGACUCAGACUGGCAUUAUCAAUGGCCUGGAGCUUGCAAUAACUGUUAAUUAAGUGCAUUUUUUCAUUAUUCUUUAGCAAAGAAGUAAGAUUUAAUGAUGUAAGUUAACAAUGGAUGAUAAUUUAAAGUCGUGACAAUAGUUUAAUUAUUCGCACACAUACAAAAGUUAACUUCAUAACUUAUUUCUUUGUGAGAACAAGUUCAUUUAAAAUAUUUUGAACUGUGCAUACAAUUACCACUUAGACGCUUUCCUUCAUGGCUUUGUAGAGACAAAGAGUCAAUUCUGCCUGUAAAUUUCUCACGAGACAGUUCUACAGACUAAGAAUUCUGUCUCACACAUACACAUACCAAAAAAAGAUAAAAGAAAAGUCCCAUCAUUGAGUUUUGCUUAGAAUUUGUUGAGGACUCAAGAAAGGGAUGUGUGGUUUGGUGUUACAUGUGUGUCUUUGCGAUAGAAUGGAAACCCAACUCCCCUAAACAAGGAUGUAUGAGUGUGAGCGUGCCUGUGGUGUGUGUGUGUGUGUGUGUGUGUGUGUGUGUGUGUGUGGUGGGGGGUGAACCUUUCCUUUGUUAGCCCAUCUGAAAAGGCCUGAUUUCUAUUUCUCCAGGGUGACUAUCAAGAAUUAGAGAUGGUGUAUGUGUGGGGGUAGGCGUAGGGUGGGGUUGGUGUACAGCUUCAGCUGGAAAGAAAAGAAGGACAAAUGGAUACUGGAAUUGGAGGAUAUCCCCUUAAAUCCAAAACCUCUGGGUGGUCUGGGAUGAUAUAAUUCUAGUCUGACUGAGUACUAAAGCCACUGAAACUUACCUAGGAUAUUCAGGUGUGCCAAAGCUCCAGGGCUCUGGGAUGGAGCCAACAUCAUUGCACGGUAUUUGGCUAGGGAUGCAGCAGGACUUCCACAAUUCUUCCACUCCUCCUGAAUUGUCUGUCGUGGAAAAAUGCAGAAGUCAGCCAUGCCCAGUGACCCCGUCCAUCUCAGGUCCUCACUUGAUCUUCACUUCCUCGAGAGCCAAUAGCAGCUCCAGGGCAUUUACAGAACCCAGUGGAGGGGCACCUGGGGCAUCAUUGUCAGAUCCAAGUCUUCAUACUCUUGUCUUCAAAGGAAACAUCUCAAAACAUUGCUAGAACCAAGGAAGUAAAACUAUGGUUACAUCACCCCAGUGUCAGUGUUCAGAUGAAAAUACUGCAAUAUUAUCAGACACACAGAUAACUUUCCCAAACUACCCAAUACCGAUAUAUUGUUGAACAUGUGGUUAAUCAAAUAUAACAACUCCAUCCAGUCUCUCUUUUUGAUGAUUCACUCCUCAGUGUAAUUAUCUCACUAGACAAUUUUAUCAAUGGGGAAUUUUUUUGGCCAAAGUAAUAAUAAUCCUGCCUUUGAUAUUCAGCUGUUUACCAUGGUCUGGUGUGUCGCAUACCUACAGCUGAUGCUACUGUGUGAUGUAUAAGAUAGAGAUGUGGAAAGACCAGUUUUCUACCAUGAUUGCUUUUCACAGACAGACAUUUUAAAAAGACUAUAACACAGCAUUCAAUAUUCCUCCUGAAAAAUGAAGACCCUCUUCAAAAGAGAAAAGUUAUGCAUGAAAUUUAGCACUGUUCCUGUCCUCUUUGUAGAGUUAUAAGCAGAGGAAGGGGUGGAGGAGAACUCAUUUGAGCUGAGAGUGAAAUGCCAUUGGGGUAUCUGAAAGAAUAUUGACGACUGAGACCAUCAGACCAGAAACUUCUGGAAGGUGUUCAAUAAAGAGCAUGGGGAGAGUGGGAUGAAUGUAGAA